GAGAACCCAGACCAGGCCAGGCGCCACAGCCACACGCUGCCCCCAAGGCUGUUUCCCAAAGUGGCACCUGCAAGGCUACGGGUCCUGGACUGCUGGGCUGUUGAAGUACAUUCGUGCACUGAUAGAAUGACGCCUGCAAAGGAACAGAGUCGAGGAUUCAGGCAGGGGUAGAUUGUGUGCGUGUGCACACUCUGUCUCCCGCACUCCACGUUUCCAUCCUGGAUACCUAUACUGCAUAAAAUGGGCUCCUGACACUUAAGUCAGAGCAUUCUGUAGCUGUAUUUUACAGAACUGUAAUUGCACAGAUUGUUCCUCUUACAAGAGAAAUAUCCAGAGCUCUAAGAAAACAACUGAUGAAAACGGCAUGCGUGACAUUUGGUGCUGAAGACCCAGGUCAGAGAGACUCCUUUGGGGGACCAGUCCGCUGUCCUUGCCCUCACUCUGUGAGGAGACCCACCUACGACCUCGGGUCCUCAGACCAACCAGCUCACCCCACUGGAAAAUGGACUGUCCAACUCACCCGGCAGCCACUCCCAGAGCCCCUGGAACUCUGGCCCAAGGCUCUCUGACUGACUCCUUCCCAGAUCUUCUCGGCUCAGCAGCUGAAGACUGACACUGCUUGAUUGCCUGGGAAGCCUAUAGGACCAUCACAGACACUUUGGAUAACUCUUACAGUGAAGGGAGACGGGAAUGUCAGGCCUCUGAGCCCAAGCCUGCACAUAUACAUCCAGAUGGCCUGAAGCAAGUGAAGAAUCACAAAAGAAGUGAAAAUGGCUGGUUCCUGCCUUAACUGAUGACAUUCCACCAUUGUGAUUUGUUCCUGCCCCACCUUAACUGAGUGAUUAACCUUGUGAAAUUCCUUUCCUGGCUCAGAAGCUCCCCCACUGAGCACCUUGUGACCCCCGCCCCUGCCCAUAAGAGAGCAAACCCCUUUGACUGUAAUUGUCCACUACCCACCCAAAUCCUGUAAAACAGCCCCACCCCUAUCUCCCUUCCCUGACUCUCUUUUUGGACUCAGCCCACCUGCAACCAGGUGAAAUAAACAGCCUUGUUGCCAAAAAAGCGCCACUGCAGGGAGGAAUGCCAGGGUCCCAUAGAGGGAGACCGACAGUGAAGUGGAGCCUGCCAUGAAUUCACCAAAGGCCAUUCUCCCUUUCUUCCAGAAGAACAGCAUUUAGCUGGGCCUAUGGCUACCUACCUAAAGACUGCACCUCUUAGUCACCCUUGUGGCCAGGUGUGGCCACGUGACAGUGGAAUGUAAGUGGAAGUGAUGUAUGCACUUGGGUUCAUUGGUUUAAAAAAAAAUAUGACCGCCCUCCAUUUCCACUCUUUGUCUUAUCUGUGAAUGGGAACAUGGCUGUGUCUGCAGCCCGACUUUGUGCAGCAAAGGACAAGGCCCUAGGGGAAGGUGGAGAAACAAGAUGGAACAACUUGGACCCAACAACUUGGAUCCCUAUGUGGCCAUGUGGAGUCAUCUCACCCACCUGGGCCACUCACCCCGAAGACUGUUGUGUGAGGGUGAAAUAAACUUCUGUAUCACUAGCCCCUGCAUUUCAGAAAUUCUUUGUUAUGGCAGUUUUGCCUUUAUCCUAACACAGACAGCAAAGUAUCUUCUGUGGCCCCAUGACUAAUUUCGUUGUUUAAACUCAUUAUAAAAACUAUAUAAAUAAAAUAU
rnacentral:lncRNA from 1 species